AAAGGUAGAAUACUGAAAGACAGAAUUCCCUAAAAGGAACAAAUAAUGUCGCACAUUUUAUUUUUCGAAAUCCAUUAGAGAUAUCGCCUUAAUAAUAUAUUGCAGACAUUUCGACUAAAACGCUUAGAAAGAUAAGAAAAUGUCACGUAAAAAUAUACUCAAAUACGCCCAGAAAAAGAGCGGUAUCGAAUGAAAAUCAACAAUAUCUAGAUCGAAUACAUAAAAAGUGCAAAUUCAAAAUUUGUAUUUUAAAAAAAAUCAAUUGAAGAAUUUGGAAUUUGGGAUUUACGUAUGCGUUACAAUCACCACUUUGUCUAAUUAUGCGGAAAACAAUUCAUGCAUUUCAUUUUAAGGUGUGAUUGAAAACUAUCAUGAAAUUAAUUUAUUACUACGAUCUUAUUUUACAAUCAAUAUUCUUAUUAAUGUCCAUCGAGCCUUGAAAACCGCAAUAAGUGUACAGAGAACUUGAAUCAAAUUUCAUGAAAUUAUGAAACCACGUUACUUUGAAGAGAUGAAUUUAUAUUUUAUUAUACUACUACCUGACCCGGCAGAUUUCGUAGUGCCUCAAUCGAUAAAUAAAAGACCUAAACUUUUGUAGAAAAUAAACAUCAAAGGAAAAACAAAA